rnacentral:rRNA from 1 species
AUGAACGCUGGAGGCGUGGCUAAGGCAUGCAAGUCGAACGAGAUCAUUGUUGUAGCAAUACUUCGAUGGUUAAGUGGCAAACGGGAGCGUAACACAUUGGUAAUCUACCUUUUUCUCACGAACAACUCAUGGAAACGUGAGCUAAUACGUGAUACGGAUGAGGGGCCGCAGGGCAUUCUCAUUGAAAGAUUUAUCGGAAAAAGAGGAACCUAUGGUCCAUCAGCUAGUUGGCGGGGUAACGGCCCACCAAGGCUAUGACGGAUACCAGGCGCGAGAGCGUGACCUGGCUCAAUGGGACUGAGACACUGCCCAUACACCUACGGGUGGCUGCAGUCGCGAAUAUUCCACAAUGGACGAAAGUCUGAUGGAGCGACGCCUCGUGUCGGAAGAAGGCCCUCGGGUCGUAAACGACUUUUAUGAGGGAAGAAUCAUGACGGUACCUCAUGAAUAAGUGGUUGCUAACUCUGU